UACGUAGGGGGCAAGCGUUGUCCGGAUUUAUUGGGCGUAAAGAGCGUGUAGGCGGCCAGAUAGGUCAGCUGUGAAAACUCGAGGCUCAACCUCGAGACGCCGGUUGAAACCAUCUGGCUAGAGUCCGGAAGAGGCGAGUGGAAUUCCUGGUGUAGCGGUGAAAUGCGCAGAUAUCAGGAGGAACACCAAUUGCGAAGGCAGCUCGCUGGGACGUUACUGACGCUGAGACGCGAAAGCGUGGGGAGCAAACAGG
rnacentral:rRNA from 1 species